GUCUUUCCGGAGACAUUUGAUAAAAUUUGAACGAUACAGAGAAGAUUAACAUGGCUUAUGCAAGGAGGACACACAAAUUGGGAAAUUGUCCAAAUGUUU